rnacentral:rRNA from 1 species
ACGCCGCGUGAACGAAGAAGGCCGUGAGGUUGUAAAGUUCUUUUCGGGAGGGGGAACAACCGUGGCAGGGAAUGGCCGCGGGAUGACGUGAAUCCCGGAAUAAGCCCCGGCUAACUACGUGCCAGCAGCCGCGGUAACACGUAGGGGGCGAGCGUUGUUCGGAAUCAUUGGGCGUAAAGGGCGUGCAGGCGGUCCUGCAAGUCCGGCGUGAAAGACCCCGGCCCAACCGGGGGGGCGCGCUGGAAACUGGAGGGCUUGAGUACAGGAGGGGAUGCCGGAAUUCCAGGUGUAGGGGUGA